GCAGUUGCAUCUAGAAGAAAAAGAUCUUUUACAAGCAUUGUCCUUCACACUUCAUGAAUGAAUUGCAGAACCAUUGCCCAAUGGAUUUUAUGCUCCUACUUUCUGAUUAUUGUUUGACAGAAACAUCUGGUUACUAGCUCUAAUAUUUCCUCAAGCACAGAAGCUCCCAGACUGCACAGAAUGGGGGUUCAAUCUGUCCUCAUCUCUGAAAUGAAUGCCUGUAAAUGUCUACAAAGGAGGACUGGGAAUGGAUCACUUGAGAUUUGCUAUUAGAUCUUGCUGCUAAACAUAACUGAGAAAUGAGUAUGCUGUCAGAAAAUGCAAUUUGUAUUUUAUGCCCUAAGUAGCAAUUUUUAAAAUAUAUAUAUAUAUAUUAUUUUAUUUUUUUUUGCCAAGGUUGUGUCUUGUAUUCUUUCUACAAAUUGUACUUCUCUUUACCUGAGUAGUAGGUUGGAAUGUCCAAGAAAAUUAUAGUACUGUAAAUCAUUAAGACAAUAUGGGAAAACAUUACUAAAGCAAUUAUGACUACAAUCUUUAACUGGUUAUACAGGGAUUAACGAUGCAACAACUUGCAAUAUUCUUUUUAUUACUAGCAGGACUUCUUAGUUUCCAAAGGAAAAGACUUUUUUUUCAAUGAAAGAAGAAUAUUUAUAUUUGUUAAGUUAGAUUUAUAUUCAGAUUAUUUAAAGAAAAAUGCAUCAGUGAAAAAAUUAUAUGAAUCUGCUGUCAUUAAUGGUUUCUGUAUAUUAAUAUUAUAAUUUGUUUCUGCACUUGGUCAAAAUACACUGAAAAGAUGUUAUUCAUACUUACUUUUGACUUAAUCUUUUACUGGUUAAAUGUCUUUGAGGUUUUACCUUCAAUGAUUCACAUGUAAAAUACUUAGUGACUAAAUUCUGCAUGGUGUUUUUCUAGUCAUUGUCAUACAGUUUGUUUACUUUAUCAGUUUCAAUUUGCUAAAAAUCUAAUUAGAGAUGAUGUGAUAGUAUUAUAUUGCUGAGAUGCUAAUGUUAAUUAGGUAGGUAGGUUAGGAAGGAUUUUUUUUUUUUUUUCUUCCCUCCUAUAUCCUGAACAGUUCUUAUCCCUGACAGGGAAUAUUAUAAGAUAACACCUUUUAAUUUUGAAAAAAAAAAAAAAAAGAAAGGAUCCUGUUAUACCUGUUGAGCAAUCAGAAGAUAAUUUAGUCCUUUAGAACAUGCUUUGACAAAGUCCUUGAUAGAAGAAAUAUGCCUUGUGAAAUGGCACAUAGCAAAGCUAGAAGAACUUGUGUCCCAAUAUGUCUUUCUUAUCUGCAGUUUAAGACUGAACCAAAUCCAGAAAUACUACUCAUUGUUAACUGUUUCUUUACAAUUUUAGCAAGAAGCUGUGAGAAGAUAUCGAAAAGGAAUCCAAGUAGGAGAAGAGAGAAAUAACUUCUCUACUACAACAUGCCCAUGUUUGUGCAGUGCUUAUCAAAUGAAUCAUCUGAACCAUCACUGAUAUCAUCUACCUGGACCUCUAAUAAAGCAAUCCAUGUUGGCUGUUCCACUGCUGGAUAACCCCCUGUCAUUGACCCUUCUGCUCACCAGUCUCCACCUGCAGAUCUGUAAACUAACUGUGUCUAUACUGAAUGGCUGAUUCAAGCCCUCACAGCAGGGGUGGAAUGUGAUUACGAACUCUUAAAAGUAAAUCAUCAUGCACUUGUGUACUAUAUGGACACAGUUGUUGAAUAUUUAUGGAGCAUAACUUGAACCUGUUGUUGAGAAACUCCAAUAUAUAAAUGUCUAGAAGAUAGUAAAAGAAAAAUGGCCAUCUCA